rnacentral:lncRNA from 1 species
AACGAAAAAACGAAGAAAAAAAACGAAAAAAAAAAAAAGUUAAAAAUAAAAAUAAAUAAAAUUAAUUAAAUAAAUAAAUAAAAUAUAACAAAUUUUUUUGGACUUGGGUCUCCCUCAUUUGAGCCCACUACCCACGAAAAUCAGUCUAUAAAUAACUGCAGUUUCAGUAGAGGAAAACACACUUGGAGUUACACUGGGAUUAUCACUGGAGAAAGAUUUUGAGAGAAGGAAACCUAGGAACUACUCUGCAGCGACCUUCAGGCAGCCCUAAGAAGUUCACUCCCCGCCUCACACAAACCCUAGUAUUACUUUGCAGAUCCGGCCGUACCAUUCAAUCUUAAUCAAUCUCUCUCAUCAGCUGGAGAGAUCUCAGGGUUGCUAAUCCUUUAAUUGCUGUAACUUCGGAUCUUUAUCCGUGUGGUAAUUUUUUCCUUUUCUCGUACUUAUCGCUUUCUUAGCUGGAGACCUCGAUAGGAGCCAAUGUUUGAGCCCUUGGUGGCAUUUUACUUUGAGAUACAUGUUUGUGUUUUUGUAUUCAUAUCCCCACAUGUAGCGCGGUUCCUUCGUCAAGGACUGCCUGUUUGCCCUCGAGCAUCCAAACCCUAAAACCCAUAACACACGCCUUUCUCUCCCUUUCCUCCGUUUAUCCUUCCCCUCACACUUUCCUUUCUUGCUCCCUCUCUCCCUUCUUUUCUUUCACUUUCUUCCCGACUCUUUCACCUUCCUUCCCUUCACUCUUUUUUUCUUUCCUUUCUCUUUACUCCCUCUUUUUUUUGAUGCCACCUUUUCUUCUUCUUCUUUUCACUUUUCUCCUCUUCCGUUUCUCUCUUUCUUCUCUCCUUCCUCCCCUUUUCAUCCUCUCCCUCUCCUCCUCCCUCUUUCCCUCUUUCUCUCUCCUUUCUUGUUUUCUCCCUCUUUCUUUUCCCUCCCCUUUUUUUUCCCCUACCUUUCCUUUUUUUCCCUCUUUUCUUCUCUUUUUUCUUCGUCCUUUUUUUCUCCUUCUCUUCUUUUUACCUUACCCUUUCAUCUCCACCUCCCCCUCCCUCCUACCCCUCUUUCAUGCAUUCUACUUACUGUCUGUCCUCUUCACUUUGUUCACCUUGUCGUCCCCGGCCUUCGGUUCACAUCAUCUCUUCACUCACUCUCCAGGUGAGUAAGUCCUCUCCCACUACAUACUGCUUCCGUCUCCGUUAGUAUAUUCUUCCUCCCCCUUCUUUUCUUUUUUCCUCCCCCUCUCUUUUUCUCCCUACACCUAUCCUAUUCUCCUACUCCCCACACACCUCCACCUAUUCCUCUUACCCCCUCACUCCUUACACACUCCUCUCUCACCUCUUCUACCCCUCUCCAUUUUCAUUCUCCUCUUCACCACUGUGAUCCUUCCUCACUUUACUCUUCAUAUAUCUCACACUUACUUAUCAUCACGGAUACUUCCACGAUACAUACUUGCCACUGCUCAGACCCUAAUUAUAAGCUAUCCGUUCCACAUUAUUCUUUCUUCUCUCCCUACUCCCUCCUCCAUUCACUACUCACCUUCUUUAUUCCCAUUGCUUCCCUCCUUUCUUCUCCCUUUUUGCCCUUUUUUUUCUCCAUACUUUCAUCCCCAUUCCUUCAUUAUUACUCUUCUCUUUUUUUUUUUAUUCUUCCAACCAACUUUCACUCUCAGACACCUCUAUUACUCCUCUUGUAAACCUUUUCAUCCUCGUAACUUAAUUACCAGCUUUUUUUCUUGCUUCUUUGACUGUCUCUUUACCACCAUCACUAAUUACCAGAUUUGCAACGUAUUAAUUCCUGUAUCCUGGCCAUAUCAUGUAACCUUUCCCAUCUUUCGCGAUUCUUAUAGCCGAUCAGACCAUCUUACCACUUCCUCUCUCUCUCUCCGUCUUUCCUUCUUCCCCAAUACGCCCAUAGUCAUGCCCUUCUUCUCGAGCUCUCUCUCUUUCGUUGCAUUCUUCUUAGUCCCAUCUUUUUCUGCCAUUCCUUGCUUAUUCAUAUUCUAUUCUUCAUGCCCACUGACGUUAAUAUCCUCGUUCAUUCUGCACCGCUUGCGUUGUCAACCUUAUCCGCUUCUCUUUCCCCUCCAUACCCCUUGGCUUGCAGUUCCCGUCCUUUCUUCCUUUCUUUUCUCUCUUUAAAACCUUCUCCUCCUCUUUCCUUCUUUUUUGUAGUUAAUUUAUUAUACUUCACUAUUCUUUACGGCUUCCUCCAUACACUCCCUAUUAUUUUCUCCUUUUUAGUUUCUCACAAAAACUUCCCUACCUCUCUCUCUACUUUUACUCCCACAAGUGCCGAUCCCGUAGAGUACUAUGUGUGUUCCGUAACGCGCGGCCUUCGCUCUUACACUCCCUUACCACCUUUUCGCACUUUCUAGUACUCUUCGCAUACCUUCGUUUUUCAUUCUCCCAGAAAUCUUCCCUCCCUCCCAGGAUGAUAAUUUGCAUCGCCUGUCUCCAGUAGAAAAUCCUUUUCAUCUCUUGUCUUUGCUUUCCUCUUUUUUUUCUCUCCCCUCCUUUCGCCCCUUUUUUUCCACCAUGUGUUCUACCUCCCGCAUCCCUUUCCAUUCUCGGCCGAGCGUGCUUCUUUACUCUUACUUUUCCCUAUCCACUCCUUCCAUCCUUCCUCUCUGCAGCUAAUUUAUUUGUCAUAUACCCCCUCCUCACCCUCGGCCACUCUUUGGCUGGCCUGCAUGCCCUUUCUUUUUUCUCCGCCUAAUCUUUCCUCUCUUUCUCUUUUUUUUUACGACUACUCAUCUCCCCACUGCGCCCGACGUUCCGUAUUCUCUUGUCAUCUCUUUUCCAGCCCACUCCUCCAUCUCGCCCUUUCCGCCAUCCUGCCUAUUCUCUUUUCAGGUUGCGACAGCGUGGAGACGACCUUUGCUCUCCGUCCCUCGUGCGCCCCGCUAUCCCACCCUUUACGACCAGCCUCUGCAUCCCUUCUCCUCCCUCUCUUGCGGUCCAUCUUCCUAAGCGAGUCCCUCUUAGCUUGUGUGAUUUUCUUGUUUAUGGGUGUUCAUGCUUUUGGUACAUUUAAUUUGCUUAUUACCCUGCUUGCAUUCAUCUGCUGUUAUCUGUUGAAGUCUGUUGUUGUUUUGUUGGGAUGGGAGUUCUACGAGAGAUAAGCCCAUUACCCAGGCUUGAGUGUACCACACAGGUUUUAGAGUGGAAUGAUCAUGAGAGGCUNNNNNNNNNNNNNNNNNNNNNNNNNGGAGUUCCUUUCAUCACAGAAGCUUAGAUUAUUGCAAGAAGUGAUGUUAUCCCCGAUAUGAUCGAAUUGAUUCACCGUAACAUCAUGUUCUACAAAUGCUUGUUCCAAAACAUUCUGUAAUUCUUUCUCUGUGCGCUUCAGAAAUCAUGAGCAGGGACAACACUGAGAUUUUUGAGGGGGUUUGGAGCAGCUGCUCCACCAUAUGAAACUCACUUCUCUUGAUCAAACUAAGUACCUCAUCAUCAUCGUUAGCCUUCAAAUCGUUGGAUUUACCAGACUUACCCUUUGAAACACCAACUGGAUCUACAACAGGCACUUACACCUUCUUUCAACAAACUGAUUCUUCCUUAUCCUCGGAACACCGGCUCAAACACAAGACCACUGCGGGUCACCUUGGUAACAUCAGCAAUGCUCACCACAGAGCCAGUUGUAGUAACGGGCCUCUUGACCCCCUUCUUAUCAAUGUAGCAUUAUACUGAUACGGCACAGCUUUAUCAGAUGAAUACGGGACUGGCCCGCUAACCGUAUAACCAACGGCGAUAAUGAUCUAUUGCUGACAUUGUUACUGUUGUUGUUGUCGUACUAAAUUACCAUUCUCUCUGGCUGCUUGAAAAUGGGCACUAUGACAUUUACAUUGUCAUCUACAUGACGGGAUUGAACAAUUUGAAUCAUGCCUUCAUCCAUCAUUCGUUGGAUAUCCCUUUUCACAACUUCGCAACCCUUGAAUUAACACUGCAAACAGCACAACCAUCAUGGUCAUGCUCACAAUUACUCACCAAACAAAUGUCCUUAUGCAUCUGCACUCAGGACCUUCGGAUGAAAUGCACAUCAAAACCUUAACUCGCCAGGACAACCAUGCACCAUAUUCACAGAAGAGUUUCCAUGGGCGGGUAGUGGAUUUGCUUUCAUAUUCGACGCACGGUCCUCGAAGGACACCAUUCCACUCUUCAUCAGCUUCUGAACCUCAUACUUGAGCGAAUAGAAGUUCUCAAUGUCAUGUUCGGGUGCUCCUUGAUGAAAAUCACACGGAGAUCAGGCUUGUACCACCAUGGAAGUGGUUCUGGAAUUUGCAGCGGGUUUCUUGGUUGAUUAGGUUCUUGGAACCAAAGACGGUAUAAUUCUGCAUAAGACAUAGGAAUUGGGUCUAAAGAGACCUUCUUCCUCUCAAAGUUUUGUUGAUGAUGAUUGUUGUUGGUAUUGCUGUCGUUGUAGGUAUUUACUCGUUGUUGCGGUUGUUGUUGUUGAUGUUGUGAUUGUUGAACUUGGUUGUUGAUUGUUGAUUAGAAAAUACAGGGAUAACUGAAGAUACUUGAUGAUGAUGUUGAUGACAUGUUGAUUCCUUCUAAUCUGAGGCUUCCUCUGCCUCCACUGCUUAUUGCAUUUGCUUCAUUGUCCUUUUUCUUCCCAAAAUUACUGCCAUAUCUCUUACUCGACGAUGCUUCUUCUUUCGACAAACGUCCCUCUCGGACUCCUUCCUCAAGCCUCAUCCCCAUGUUUACCAUUUCGGUAAAGUCACUGGGGGAACUAGCAAUCAUUUGUUCAUAAUAAAAUGAACUCAGAGUUUUCAGAAAGAUCUUUGUCAUCUCUUUUUCCUCCAAAGAAGGACUGAUCUGGGCAGCCAAUUCCCUCCAUCUCUGCGCAUACUCUUUAAACGUCUCUUUAUCCUUCUGAGACAUAGACCUCAGCAGGUCUGUAUCAGGCGCCAUAUCCCACAUUGUACUUAUAUUUAUUGACAAAAGCCUCUCCCAAGUCAUUGAAAGUACGAACGCUUGCACUGUCUAAUCUCAUAUACCAUCUGAGCACAGCACCGGUCAGACUGUCUUGGAAGUAGUGAAUCAACAAUUGAUCACUGUCAGUCUGAGUAGACAUCUUGCAAGCAUACAUUACUAGAUGACUGAGUGGACAUGUGUUCCCUUUGUAUUUUUCAAAGUCAGGCACUUUGAACUUCACCGGGAUCUUUGACGUUGGGCACUAAACACAACUCAGCAACACUCUUUCCAACAAAGUCCUUACCCCUUAGCAUCUUCAAUUCCUUGCGCAGCUCAAGAACUGAUCCUUUAUUUCAUCCAUUUUCUCGUAAACAUCCGGACCCUCAGGCGACUCAGAGUGAUAAAUGGUAUCCUCUACACGAGGUAAGGUGUGCAUAACAGGAGGUGCACAGACAUGACCGGGCUAGAUGUCGGCAUGGAAGCAAAUGUAGGCGCAAAGCCUUCAGGCAUAAAGUUCGGUGCAUUCCCACGGGAAUCGGGCAGGCAUAGUGGGUGCAAAAAUGACGGUAUCAGCAGGCAUGGUAGAGGUAGCCACCUCUUAAAUAACAGUCCUCUAGGAGGGAGGAGUUGCAGGCGUUGAGAGCUUGGCUUUGAGCAGCAAGAACUGACUCCAUCAUGGCAGUCAGGCGGGAGAUCUCGUCUUUCAUCUCUCUGUUCUCUUGCUCUAGAUGCUCUUUAAUUUUUAGAUGAUUGGCGUGGGUAUUGUACCGAUGAAUCAGUUUGGCUAAAGCACAGAAGAAACACCAAUGAGACACUGGCGAAAGAGAAAUUUGCUUAUGCAAAUGAUGCAUCAAAUAAAAUGCUUGUUUAUUUAUUUUUUUAUUUUCAAGGAACUUAUUAUAUUAUUUGCAAAUAAAUAUAUAUAUCAACAGUUACAAUAAUUUUUAUAUGACCAAAAUCUCUUUUCAUUUAUUUAAUUGGAAGGAUUACACUGAGUACAUUUCAGAAACCAAAUGGAAAAUACAAGAGAAAAUGAGACUAGUCAUCCUAUAGGAUCCCUAACAACAAUGUCAGAAGACCUAUCUGAAGGCGCGUACUUCCAUCGAAUGCGACAAAUCUCAGUCUCAAAAGAAAUCUUCAUCUGAGUCUUCUCGAGGACAAGCUGAUCAACAAUCUUCUUCCAAGCAACGGAAGGCUGAGGCAUGCUAGAAGAUGAAACCUUCGGCUCUCUCUGUCUCUUUGUCACUCGGUCUUCAAGUAGCUCAAUAAGUGCAUAUUUGUCCCUAGACUCCAAUUGCAACUCUUCAUGCUUUCUGCUCUAAGCACGGAAAUGCUCUUCCCACAUAUCUUUCUCUUGCUUCAUCUUGGCGAGCGCGUUUUCCAACUCCUCUACAUCUUGGUUAGGGAGAGUUAAUGGCUCAACCACAACAAUAGACGUAGGUCUUUCAUAAGGAUAAGGCAUCUUCAACUCCAAAUCUCUCUUCUUCACCCAAAGAGUGUAAGCUUCCAAAGCUACACAGUUGCACGGACCAAGCUCGGAUCUUCUCUUCCUAUGCACAUUAUGCCAAGCAUGCACAAUCUUCUGCUUCAAAUGUUGGGGAUCUUUACCCUCUUGAUAGAAAGACCUUCUAACAACAUGUUAUAGAUUUGUCUCUCAAGGGGAACCCAAGUUGACGACGAGCCAAAGCAGGGUUGUAGUUAAUUCCUCCUUGUGUACCAAUGAGAGGCACAUUGGAGAAUUCACCACAACUAUCAAUAAUCUCCAAAAUGCUCAAAGACGGAUCAUACCAAACUAUAUCAUCAUUAGUGAGAGACAUAAGUCUCUGAGACCACCGUAGACAUUGUUUGUUCUCCCAAAAGCUGGUGUCUAAGGCAAGUGCGAAAUAAACUACUUGUACAAAAGAGGAAUGCAACAGACAAUAGUUCCACCACCCUUAGAAUUCCUUAGAUGGCAAGAUAAAUACAUAUCACCCAACAGAGUAGGCACAGGAUUCCCAAUCAAGAAAAGUCUAAUGGCGUUAACAUCAACAAAACCGUCAAUGUUAGGGAACAAAGCUAAUCCAUAAAUGAGCAACACAAAGAUAGCUUCAAAAGCAUCCACACUACCAGCUUUGAGCAAAAGCAGUAGCUUCCUUGAUGAGGAAAUCAGAUGGAACCAAAACAAUCCUCCCUUCUUCACCCAAUGAGCCUCUAUCUCAUACUUCUUCAAGUGAAGAGCUUCAACAAUAGAUUAGAUCAGGGAAUCUCCUCCAAUCCACUAAAAGGCACUCUACUAGAAUAGGUAUGCCCAAAGAUGAGAAUACUCUCCAAUGUAGGCACGGGCUGAAAAUCUGGGAAAGUGAAACAACGACAGAAAGGAUCAUAGAACUGCAUUAGCACACUCAAAAGUUCUUCAACCACAUCGGCAGACAAGAUGGACAGAAUCUUCCCAUGACGUUGUUUGAAGUCCAAGGAUCUAAUACAAAUAUGUUAUCUUCCUUAACUCUUUCAAGUCGGGACAUCUGAAACUGUACUUCUUAGUGUUCCUUCGUCCACAAUCCAUGGUCUGAAAAUAUUUGCAAAUAAUACCUCAGUUCCUUGAAAUUUCCGUGUGAUGAAUGUUAUGAUGCGCAUGAAUGCAUGAAUGCAUCAAUCACAGAUAAGGGAUUACAGACAAGGCAAAAAAAUAAAGGUCAAGGGAUGAAUCAAGUUAUUGUCAAGAUCAAUCAUCCAUUUUGGAGGAUUAUGGUCUACACCUUAUCAACACUCAAGUUCCAUUAAUAUUGACAAAACUUGAUUGGAUCAACCAAGAAUCAAGGGUUUGUUGUAAGUCACGAGCAUGGAGUCUGGGUAAGAAUCAUCCAAAGGAGUGAACUAAGGAUAACAACCUGUAGAUCAUGUUCUAAAAAGUUCCCAAAGUCUUAAUUCCAUCUAUCGGAUAUUACAGGUUAAGAUGACUGACUCAUCGACCCAUAAUAUUCUCAGAGAACUCGUCUAAGGUGAGUAUCGCGUAACAACUGUUAUCAAGUUUACACUUGAACAGUCUCUGCACUAUGUCCUAAAUAGGCCAAGAGGGGGUAAAUGUUCUACGUCCUCAGCUUCUCGGACACAAAUUAGAGAUAGUAAUGCCUAACCAUAAAUACUUGUGUGACAUUUCCAAAUCCAAAAGGCUCUCCAAUAAGCAUAUGGAUCUUAAUCCAACUUGUUAAGGACUACUCCCACACAAGUCGAACAUGACUAUACCAUCCUCCUAUCUUAUUGCACUCAAGUUCAGGUUAGACUUAUCUCACCACUCAGAGAUCACCAAGCACAACAAGCAGAUUAUAUCACACUUACAUAUAUACAAACAUCACAUAUAUACAGAUAUAUACACACAAAAAGUAGGCUAAACCCACUGGAGACUACUCCCCAGCAGAGUCGCCACUGAAUUUCUAUAGCGGUAAUGCAUGAUCAUCAAGCUAUGGAUAAGCUAGACAUCAAUAAUACCAGAGUUGCCACCGCGCUUUUAUUGUUUCAAGGGAAAAGGGAAAAAGUACGAACAAAACCCGAAAGUAAGAAGUUUUUAAAUCAAAACUAAUAAAUGUCAGAGAUUACAGGUAAGGUGUGGUUACACAGAGAGAAGGUGUUAGCACCCAAAGUGUCCUAGGUACUCUUACGGAGCCCUUUUUGUGUGCAUAUUUAUUUGGUACAAAAUGAUGUUUACAAACAAAUAGAAUGGUGGGGACGAGAAAAGAAUUCAUUAAUUAUAUUUUUUGUGUUUGACAAGACCUUCGGACUUGUGUGUACAUACCAACAUAAAAUUGAGGGAUCAAAACCUCGUAGUUCGUGAUACAAAUUUCAGAGUGGAUGCAUUGUUUUUAACAAAAAUUAAGUUUGAAAGGCACAAAGGCCUAAAAAUGGUUUGAAUGAGUUAGUUAUUUUUUUGGCUUUUUUUUGAAAAUUUAAGUCAAUUAUAAUUAAGUCUAUUUACAGGUUUGAUUAAGAAAAGGAAGUUUGAAAAUUCAAUGGCAUAAGACCAAGUUUCUAUCUUUUUGCAAAGUGGUCAAAGUUUAGAACAAAAUAAGUUCACACAAAUAAAAUUUUAAAAGGAGGGAGAGAUUUUGAAAUUUAAGAAAUGGGGAGAAGUAGAAAGACUAAUCCUAUGCCCAAAAUUAAAAAAUUAAGGGUGGAAAAGAUCUGACACAUGGGUAGCAAUCCAAUAGACAAGAAUGUCAAUAAACCCAGAUUCCCUUGAACAUUUAGAAUCAAGUGUAAUACCCCAAAAUUUACCCUUAAUUUUUCCUGAAAAAAAAAACGAAAAAACGAAGAAAAAAACGAAAAAAAAAAAAAGUUAAAAUAAAAUAAAUAAAAUUAAUUAAAUAAAUAAAUAAAAUAUAACAAAUUUUUUUGGACUUGGGUCUCCCUCAUUUGAGCCACUACCACGAAAAUCAGUCUAUAAAUACUGAAGUUUCAGUAGAGGAAAACACACUUGGAGUUACACUGGGAGAUUCACUGGAGAAAGAAUUUUGAGAGAAGGAAAC